rnacentral:tRNA from 1 species
GGUAUAUAGUUCAGUGGUGGAGUGCUUGCCUUGCAUGCUUGAGGCCCUGGGUUGAAUCCCCAGCACCG